AAAAGAAACCAACAGGGAUUGCCCUAGUAACGGCGAGUGAAGCGGCAACAGCUCAAAUUUGAAAUCUGGCGUCUUUGGCGUCCGAGUUGUAAUUUGCAGAGGGCGCUUUGGCAUUGGCAGCGGUCCAAGUUCCUUGGAACAGGACGUCACAGAGGGUGAGAAUCCCGUACGUGGUCGCUAGCCUUUACCGUGUAAAGCCCCUUCGACGAGUCGAGUUGUUUGGGAAUGCAGCUCUAAAUGGGAGGUAAAUUUCUUCUAAAGCUAAAUACUGGCCAGAGACCGAUAGCGCACAAGUAGAGUGAUCGAAAGAUGAAAAGCACUUUGGAAAGAGAGUUAAAAAGCACGUGAAAUUGUUGAAAGGGAAGCGCUUGCAGCCAGACUUGCCUGUAGUUGCUCAUCCGGGUUUUUACCCGGUGCACUCUUCUAUAGGCAGGCCAGCAUCAGUUUGGGCGGUUGGAUAAAGGUCUCUGUCACGUACCUCCUCUCGGGGAGAACUUAUAGGGGAGACGUAAUGCAACCAGCCUGGACUGAGGUCCGCGCAUCUGCUAGGAUGCUGGCGUAAUGGCUGUAAGCGGCCCGUCUUGAAACACGGACCAAGGAGUCUAACAUCUAUGCGAGUGUUUGGGUGUCAAGCCCGAGCGCGUAAUGAAAGUGAACGGAGGUGGGAACCUUUCGGGGUGCACCAUCGACCGAUCCUGAUGUCUUCGGAUGGAUUUGAGUAAGAGCAUAGCUGUUGGGACCCGAAAGAUGGUGAACUAUGCUUGAAUAGGGUGAAGCCAGAGGAAACUCUGGUGGAGGCUCGCAGCGGUUCUGACGUGCAAAUCGAUCGUCAAAUUUGGGCAUAGGGGCGAAAGACUAAUCGA
rnacentral:rRNA from 1 species